UAAUAAGUCACCUCAUGAAAUCUUGUAUGGGAAAGUUCCAACCUAUACUCACUUGAGGACAUUUGGUUGCGUUGCCUAUGCCACUGUCCCAAUCCCUCAAAGGGACAAAUUAAAGCCAAGAGCUAUUCCUUGUGUUUUCCUGGGAUAUCCUUUUGGCAAAAAGGGUUAUAGAUUGUAUGAUCUUGCUUCAAAGAAAUAUUUGGUCUCCAGGGAUGUCAUAUUUCAUGAAUCAUGUUUUCCUUUUAAAUCUGUGUCUUCUUCUGCGCAUCCUUCUGCUUCAUCUUUUCCCUUUGUUCCUUCUGGAGAACAUGUUUAUGAUUCUGAUUCUCCCAUACUCCUCUCUCCUCCCUCUUCUCCCACAUCUGUGCAGGUGCCUUAUCCUGUCCCUGCCUCUACUGAUUCUGCCUUCCCUUCUUCUUUCAUUCCUGACAUCUCACCUCCUGUUUUGGCUUCUUCUCCUUCUGUUCCUGCACCCAGAAAGUCUCAAAGACAGCAUAAUCCUCCUUCCUAUCUUAAGGAUUAUGUCUGUCAACUACAGACUUGUUAUUAGAGGAGAUACUCAGGUUGAAGGUAUUGACUUCACUGACACCUUUUCUCCUGUGGUUAAAAUAUGCACAGUUAAGUGUAUUAUUGAUGUGGCUAUGAAAAAUCAUUGGAAUUUAUUUCAACUUAAUGUUAAUAAUGCUUUCUUGCAUGGUGGUUUGGAUGAGGAGGUGUAUAUGAAACUUCCUCCAGGUUUAACUGUUUAUGCUCCUGCCUCUGUUUCUGCCCCAUCUGCCUCCCUUGUUUGCAAAUUAAACAAAUCCCUAUAUGGGCUCAGACAGGCUUCCAGACAAUAGUAUGCCAAGUUGUCUUCUGCCCUAUACUCCAGAGGCUAUAGGCAUUCUUUGAAUGAUUAUUCCCUAUUCAUCAAAAGUACAUCAGGGUCCCUUGUGAUUGUUGCUGUUUAUGUGGAUGAUAUUAUUACUGGGGAUGACUGUGAUGAAAUUGCUGCUCUAAAACUGUUUCUGGAUGCUCAGUUUAAAAUUAAGGACCUUGGGUCCUUACAUUACUUUUUAGGCAUUCAGAUGUCAUCUUUGUUUCUGGAUGAUCAAUUUAAAAUUAAGGACCUAGGUCCUUACAUUACUUUUUAGGCAUACAGGUGUCAUCUGUUCCUGGUGGGAUGAUCCUUAAUCAGCACAAAUAUAUUUGUGAUUUUCUGCAACAGUUUGACUGUAUCAAUGUCUCUUCUGUUGUCUGUCCUUUGGACAUUAAUGCAAAAUUACAUGCUGAUUCUGGUGACCUUUUACCUUCUCCUGAUCAGUUUAGGAGUCUUGUUGGUAAGCUCUUAUUUCUGACCAAUACUAGGCCUGGCAUCUGUUUUGAUGUGCAACAUCUGAGUCAAUUCCUCAAAUGCCCCAGACUUCCCCAUAUGACUGCUGCUCUUCAUGUUCUGAGAUAUCUUAGGGGGACUUCUUCUCUGGGUCUCUUUUAUUCUGAUUGCAAUGAUUUCAAUGUUGUUGGUUAUUCUGAUAGUGACUGGGGUGCUGAUUCUGGUUACCUUUUACCUUCUCUUGAACAGUAUAAGAGUCUUGUUGGUAAGCUCUUAUUUCUGACCCAUACUAGGCCUGACAUCUGUUUUGUUGUGCAACAUCUGAGUCAAUUCCUAAAAUGCCCCAGACUCCCCCAUAUGACUGCUGCUCUUCAUGUCCUGAGAUAUCUUAAGGGGACUUCUUCUAUGGGUCUCUUUUAUUCUGAUUGCAAUGAUUUCAAUGUUGUUGGUUUUUCUGAUAGUGACUGGGCUGCCUGCCCUGAUACGAGGAGGUCUGUUACUGGGUUCUGCAUUAUUCUGGGUGGUUCUUUGAUUAGUUGAAAAUCUAAGAAGCAACCAGUGGUCUCUUUGUCUUCUGCUGAGGCUGAAUACAAGGCCCUAAGUAAGGUUGUUGCUGAGUUGUCCUGGUUAUCUCGUUUAUUUCUUGAUCUUGGUGUUUCUGUCUCUCUUCCUUUUUCUGUGUAUUGUGAC
rnacentral:lncRNA from 1 species